GUGCUCGCUUGGGCAGCACAUAUACUAAAAUUGGAAGGAUACAGAGAAGAUUAGCAUGGCCCCUGUGCAAGGAUGACAUGCAAAUUCGUGAAGCCUUCCACAGUUCA
rnacentral:snRNA from 1 species